rnacentral:lncRNA from 1 species
CGAGCCUCCUCGAGCAGUAGAUCGAUCUCAGGUGCGGUGUUAGUAGCGUGAUGGAUCUGAGAUCGCGAAUCUCGGAGUUCUCGCUAGCAGAUUUCCGACCUUGUCGGCGUUUGCAGCGAGUGUUCCGAGUUUGCUCCUCGGCCAGUUCUUCAUGUUUGUCCCAGAAGACGGCUUCUUCUUCUUCGGUCAUAGGGUUGUCGAACUGGGAAUCGUCCGGAGCCGAACGGCUCCUUGUGCGACGUGGAUGCACGUCUGCGUCUUCGUCCGUAGGCUCGAACUGACUGCUGGAAUCCACAUCGACGCGUUCGAUUUCUCCUUCUUCUUUAUCUUCCUCGAUAGGGGGAAGAUCUCCUGGUUUUUUCGUGUUGGCGCGGGAGUGAUUUCGUUGGGAUUUUGUCCAGACGGUUUCCCAUGUGCGUUGCCGAACCGGUCCAAAGGAGUCGCGAAAUCGAGUCUUCUUCCGCGGAUUCAGGUUGUUCCACACGGAAGAACGGCCAUGGUUCUUGUUGUUAGUGUUUCGACCUGUUUAGAAAGAGAACUCAUGACCUUGUCCUGUUCUGCUGACUUCUUUUCGAAAGUCGAGAACAUCUUCUUUACCUCCUCGAACACUGCGGUGUUUGCGUUAGCGUUAACUGCGGUAACGUUCAUUGCUGGAGUAUUUUCAAUGUUGUCGGUGGUGGCGUUGCCGUCCCGAGUUUGUUGGCUGUGGAGGUUGUCGGUUGACAUGUUUGAUCGAGCGUUGGUGGCUGAGAGUUAGAUUAAUCUGUACCUCCCCUCCUCCUUCUAGCGCUAAACUGUGGGAACCGAAAUUCGCCCUUUCGAUUUCCGUUGAUUUAGGAAGGCUAAAAAAACCUAACUUUCCCAGAGGUCCUAAAUAUCUGCUAAACCACACGCCAAGCAAUCAAACACGAUAGUAAACAGACGAAAUACAAAUACGAAAUACGAAAUAUGAAUGAGUAAAGAGCAAGAGGAGAUCUUAUUUCGACUUUGUGUUUGAACGAUUACAGACGGCAAGAGUCUCGGCCACAAGAACUGUUGGCGUGUUCUCUUGUUCAAGUAACCUAAGACUGCUAAACCUAAUCGAAUCGAAGCUCGAUGACAAAAAGGAAAUAUUGCCUAAUGAUCUAAUUGCUAAGUUUGCUCAGGGUAGGUGUGUCCCUCUGCAAAUUCAAUCUCAACAUCCUUAUAUACUCCUCUUAGAGGCGGUUUGCUUUGUCCCUUUCUGCCCUCGGUCGAGUUUAUCGUUUCGUGGAAAUAUUCCAUUUUCCUUCGAUCUUCGUGUUAAUCUUUCGAAACAUCACAUUUACCAACGACCAAUUCAAUCAUGCCAAAGGUGAUUAUUCAUGUUCUAAAUAUCCAAGAAAGUUUUGGGCUUGAUGGUUUACAAAAAAUAAUCAAAAAUAGAUUUGUUUGGGCCAAAUGGAGAAACCGAUAAAAUAUUGGCUAAGGGAAAAGAUGGAUUUCGACCAGGCUUCAAAGGGACAUGUCUUGGCCCAUAUCAGGAGCAUAUUUAUCACUUUUCAAAGUCAUGGUCUUCGCUAUAUCAAGAGGCAGUCCAAGUUUCAGUCAAGGACUUUAUUUAGUCAAGUCUUUGUUUUUAUUUUCAAUGUCUUGUUUUUAGCACAUUCUUCUUUGGAUUUCUACAACUUGUAAUCCUAUAAAUAAGGCAUAAGAACCAUGAAAUAAAUCAAUGAAUUUCCCCUUUUAUUUGAGUUUAUCUCCUUUGUUCUUUGUAAAACAUUUCUUGUUUCUUGGUGUGGUUAGCUCCAAGUAAACUUCUCUAUUUCGUUGGACUUGUGCGUCAUAUCAAGCAACGUAUAAAACCCCUUCUUUUGUUGGAUUUGUGCGUCAUAUCAAGCAACAACUGAAGUUGGUAGUAUCAAGAGACUUUCUGCCCCUCUUGUUUCACCGUUCAAUCCAUCAGUUCUCCUUUUUGGCGAGUUCAUAUCCCCUAAGUCCGAUUGAGUGAUCCCUCCCUUUUAUUGAAGUCUUUAUUGAAAAAGUUUCAAAAAAUAUUGAGUACAAGGAAAAUAUUUUAGAAUGCGGGAAUAUACGAGUAUUCGUAUAUGCACCCACUCCCCCCCCCCCUUUUGGAGAGGGGGCAUAGCUGAACUCGUCCUUCUACGAGCUGCCAACAUACUCCUUUCGAGGAUCAAGUCAUCUCGUAAUUCUGUUGUUUGUGCAACAGGCAAUUUGAUUGAUCCGAGAGUUAUUGACGUCGUGCCCGAGAAGUCAGUUAGUGGCUUGGGAGAUGGUACGACUUCUCCUAACUCGACGUUCAUCCACUUGAGAAUAUCGUGGAAAAUGACGUUGACCAUGUUGCCCGUAUCGAUGAGAACCUUGGCGACCUCGAGAUCUCUUAUCAUGAGAUCGAUCACGAGUGGAUCGCAGUGGGACUGGUCAAUCCCGCCAGCCUCUUCUUCAUCGAAAGUGAUCGCUCCUUUCGGGAUGUCACUGGGCAAGGACCAGGUCAGCGAAUUCGCGUUCGUCUCGGACUUGCGCUGAUAAGCUUUGAUGGCUGAGAUGGUAUCACUGCAGUAUUACGAUCCUGUAAUGAUCGCGUUCACUCUGCGGUGACUAUUGUCGUUGCCCUUCUCGUCCUGCCUUCUUCCGUGCUUUUCUCCCGAUUGGUUCCCUUAGGAAGAGUUCUCCGUUUGAGGAGCCUUAUCAUUUUUCGGGGGGUGGUCUGAAUCGCGGACGAGGUCUUUUACGCUGGACACUUCGGCAAGAUCUCCCGCAAGCAGCUUUGCAGCCAACCUUGCGCCGCAAACUUUGCAGUUAACGGUUGAGUGGCCGCGGGCCUGGUGAAAGUCGCAGAAGACAUUCUCAUCGUAAUUUGGAUUUCGGGUCCAUGUGUUACCCGUCGUCAGGCCUUGCUCCGAUCUGGAGUUGAUGGCAUAGUUUAUGCUCCCUGUGUCUCUUCUUCCCCGCGAUGGACGUUUUUGUCGUUUCUAGGGUUUUUCUUUUUCGACUUCUGAUCCGACCCAGGAUCCAUUGACGACGUCUUCGUCUGCUUUUGCAUCAAGACCUGCGUCUCCUACUCGAUGAUUAUGUAGUCCGUGGCUUUGUGGAACGCAUCCUGGAUCGUACGCGGCUUCUCCAACGUUAUCCACUUCCUGAACGUCGACUUGUACCAGAUCGUCUUUUUGAGCGCGUCUAUGGCCACUUUGUCGCUUAUUCCGUUAACUCUAGCCAUAAUAGUCUUGAAACGUUUUAUGAAGUCGCGGAGAGACGUGUCCUCUCCCUAGGAUAGGCUCCAGAGGUCUACGUCGGAGGUUUCUCGAUCUAUGAACAUAGAGUACUGCUUGAGAAACUCUGAAGCGAGUUGGCGGAAACUCCGAUGGAAUUUUGCCUCAGGCGGGAGAACCACUCGAGUGCUGCUCCUCGGAGGUUCUCGGCGAAGAGGCGGCAUUCGCCGGCAUCUCUUUCGCUUUUUCUAAUCUUGGUUCUCCCCAUUGCGAUCUGGAAAGCCUGCAAGUUUGCCGUAGGAUUGAUUGUACCAUCGUAAGGUGUAACUUUCACCUUUCCAAGAUCUGAAACCCUAGUUUCGGUGAUGCGAGUAGUGAAGGGCGUUUAUCGAGCCUCCUCGAGCAGUAGAUCGAUCUCAGGUGCGGUGUUAGUAGCGUGAUGGAUCUGAGAUCGCGAAUCUCGGAGUUCUCGCUAGCAGAUUUCCGACCUUGUCGGCGUUUGCAGCGAGUGUUCCGAGUUUGCUCCUCGGCCAGUUCUUCAUGUUUGUCCCAGAAGACGGCUUCUUCUUCUUCGGUCAUAGGGUUGUCGAACUGGGAAUCGUCCGGAGCCGAACGGCUCCUUGUGCGACGUGGAUGCACGUCUGCGUCUUCGUCCGUAGGCUCGAACUGACUGCUGGAAUCCACAUCGACGCGUUCGAUUUCUCCUUCUUCUUUAUCUUCCUCGAUAGGGGGAAGAUCUCCUGGUUUUUUCGUGUUGGCGCGGGAGUGAUUUCGUUGGGAUUUUGUCCAGACGGUUUCCCAUGUGCGUUGCCGAACCGGUCCAAAGGAGUCGCGAAAUC